rnacentral:rRNA from 1 species
UACGUAGGGUGCAAGCGUUAAUCGAAAUUACUGGGCGUAAAGCGUGCGCAGGCGGUUAUGUAAGACAGAUGUGAAAUCCCCGGGCUUAACCUGGGAACUGCAUUUGUGACUGCACGGCUAGAGUGCGGCAGAGGGGGAUGGAAUUCCGCGUGUAGCAGUGAAAUGCGUAGAUAUGCGGAGGAACACCGAUGGCGAAGGCAAUCCCCUGGGCCUGCACUGACGCUCAUGCACGAAAGCGUGGGGAGCAAACAGG